GUGGGGAAUCUUGCGCAAUGGGCGAAAGCCUGACGCAGCCAUGCCGCGUGAAUGAUGAAGGUCUUAGGAUUGUAAAAUUCUUUCACCGGGGACGAUAAUGACGGUACCCGGAGAAGAAGCCCCGGCUAACUUCGUGCCAGCAGCCGCGGUAAUACGAAGGGGGCUAGCGUUGCUCGGAAUUACUGGGCGUAAAGGGCGCGUAGGCGGACAGUUUAGUCAGAGGUGAAAGCCCAGGGCUCAACCUUGGAAUUGCCUUUGAUACUGGCUGUCUUGAGUUUGGGAGAGGUGAGUGGAACUCCGAGUGUAGAGGUGAAAUUCGUAGAUAUUCGGAAGAACACCAGUGGCGAAGGCGACUCACUGGCCCAAUACUGACGCUGAGGCGCGAAAGCGUGGGGAGCAAACAGGAUUAGAAACCUGUGUAGUCC
rnacentral:rRNA from 1 species